AGGAAAGACUAAUGCCUGAAAAUGCUCCUCAUAGAUGAAACGAUAUAUGGAAAUGUAACUUACAGAAUUAUAUGGAACGUCUGUCAUCUUUUCUGUGUAUGUGGAACAGUCAUCCAGGAAAACACUGCUGUUCAGUGUACACCAAGGAACAAGGACACCCGUGACUAGAAGAUGGCUGAGCUUAUUUCAUAGAUCUAAAGAGUUCUUAGUCCUGGUGAAGAAAUGAAAAGCUGGAAUUUUUUUGAAUCCUUACAAUUUUGCUGGAAAGUGUUCUAAUAUAUGGAUCUUUUUCUCAACUCAAUUUUUGUCCUGGCUAUGAAGAUAUCAGUUCUUAAUAAGUGUGAUAUUUCUGUUUGGAGUUUCAAACUCAAGAGUGGUAAACAGACCAGGGGUGCGGUGGGAAGGGCUACACUUUUAAAACCAGGGGUUAUUUGUUUGAAAAAGGAGAAAUUUUUGAGAGAGAGAAAGAAAUUUACUGACUAAUUAAUUAAAUAUAAAUUUUAUAUUUUGUAACGUUGCCUGUUUAAGAUGAGGUCUACUUCCUCCUGCCAGAGUAAGAGCAUGGUCCCACAGGAGGAAAAAAAUGAGAGGUACAAUUUUAGGACUAUUACUUUCACUCCUGAGAAAGAACCUACAUGAAUGCUUAUUAGUAAUAAUAUACCUUAAAUUUUACUAACAGAAAGUAUCAGUAAUUGAAAAUAGAUUAUCUUCCCACUGACAAAAUAUGUAAUACUUACUAUCCCUAUCAUAUAUUAAAAUGCAUUUGGCACAUUGUGGAUACCUUUGUCUAAGGCUUUUCUUGCUAGUACAUUAAUUUACCUCUUGGUGACUUUUCAUUUUUAUUUUAAAAGAUUGCAACAUAAGAAUGAAGACUAUUUCAUGGACUGUGUCAAUCCUCCAUAGUGCUCACUAUACAUAGUGAUUAAUAUAGUCUAAUGGAUGCCAUAUCUACAAUACUGUUGACAAUAAAGUAAUACCUGCCAUUUUAUCAAGCAUCCCUGAUAUGAUAGGCAUUCUGAUGGGUACUGUACAUAUAUAAUUUGUACAUCUUAAAACAACCCAGAUAGAAAAGUGUCAGCAUCCCUUUUUGAAACAUGAAGAAAUUGCCUUGAGGUUAAUGGCAAGUCUCAUGUCACAUGAAUCGUAGGCAGAUGAGCCAAGUUUACUCUGACUCUAAGCAUAGGCAUCAUUACCACCAAUAAUAGAAAAGUAUCUAAGAAAAUAGUAUUUGAGAAAGGUCUCAAAUUGCUGACCAUUGUGUUUUUAAUCCACUUUAAUUCCAGAUGCCAAAGUAAUUUCUAAAUAUUAUUCUAAAGUCUCUCUCAUGUCUAAGAGAUCAGAGUAGCCUCCAAACUCACUUAAUAAAAGAUUAUGGCCUCCAUAAUCUUGUUUUCAAGAUCUUUCCCUUUAAUUAAUUUCAAUUUUUAUCUUUUAUCAUUCUACUUUAAGUCUUUUCAAUUUUUUUUUUAAAUCCCAGCUAAUGUCAUGAAAGUUCAACUCCCAGAGAUGUCUUCAAUCCUCCAACGUGGAGGAGGCAGUGUGGUAUGGAGAAAGAAGGGAAAAGGUUUGAAAAUUCUAGAAUACCCUUACAGCUACAUUUCUUAAGUUUUUCCCUGAACACCCUAUUUCCUUAGUCAUUCUGUAUCCCUUCACCCUAAGUUUCACUAAUUAACGAUGUUAGAUUAAUAACACUACACUGUUCUGUGUGAAUAAACAAACUUCAUAUCUCA